rnacentral:rRNA from 1 species
GGGAUUGCCUUAGUAACGGCGAGUGAAGCGGCAAUAGCUCAAAUUUGAAAGCUGGCACCUUCGGUGUCCGCGUUGUAAUUUGUAGAGGAUGCUUCGGCGAGGACUCCUGCCUAAGUUCCCUGGAAUGGGACGUCGCAGAGGGUGAGAAUCCCGUAUGUGGCGGGCGGUCCAAGCCAUGUGAAGCUCCUUCGACGAGUCGAGUUGUUUGGGAAUGCAGCUCUAAAUGGGAGGUAAAUUUCUUCUAAAGCUAAAUACCGGCCAGAGACCGAUAGCGCACAAGUAGAGUGAUCGAAAGAUGAAAAGCACUUUGGAAAGAGAGUUAAAAAGUACGUGAAAUUGUUGAAAGGGAAGCGCUUGCAACCAGACUCGCUCGCAGUUGCUCAGCCCGCCUCUUGGUGGGUGCACUCUUCUGCGAUCGGGCCAGCAUCAGUUCGGGCGGCUGGAUAAAGGUGUCGGGAAUGUAGCACCCUUCGGGGUGUGUUAUAGCCCGGCGCGGAAUGCAGCCAGCCUGGACUGAGGAUCUCGCUUCGGCAAGGAUGCUGGCAUAAUGGUUGUAAGCGGCCCGUCUUGAAACACGGACCAAGGAGUCUAACAUCUAUGCGAGUGUUUGGGUGUCAAACCCAUGCGCGUAAUGAAAGUGAACGGAGGUGGGAACCCGUAAGGGUGCACCAUCGACCGAUCCUGAUGUCUUCGGAUGGAUUUGAGUAAGAGCAUAGCUGUUGGGACCCGAAAGAUGGUGAACUAUGCCUGAAUAGGGUGAAGCCAGAGGAAACUCUGGUGGAGGCUCGCAGCGGUUCUGACGUGCAAAUCGAUCGUCAAAUUUGGGUAUAGGGGCGAAAG